AGCAAGAUAAUUGCCCCAGAAGACAACAAACCGUCAUGGAGAAUACUAAUAACGCCGAGAGCCCAUUCCAGCACUCUGCCAGGAGGUCCUUCCCGUUAAAGUAAUAACAGCAGAAAUGGGAGCCUUAAAGCCUGCUGAUUUUUGACUAAGUCGUUGUCAAGGGUAAUCUGGGGCAUGUUAAAUAAGCCAUGGCUUUUAUGAAAGACGAAAAUGAUGUGAUAUCGAAAGAAUGACCUACAGGAAGUGAGCCUCUAUGCAACACCAUUCACAGUGGACCAGAUGGUUUGGGAAAUGCGAUCUCAUUGACAGGAGGACUAUCCAGUUAUUUUAACGGCAAACAUGACAAAUGGAGUUUCGCUCUUUUGCCCAGGCUGGAGUGAAGUGGCGCGAUCUCAGCUCACUGCAACCUCCGUCCCCCAGUUUUCUAUUAUUUCAUCUCAACAAGCCUUGAUUGCCUGCCUUCCAUGUGCCAGCACCUAUUUUAAAAGAAGGUCUCUAUUACUAAUCAGCCUUAGGAAUCCAGAGAUUCAACAUAAUGAGGAGCUAAAUGGAUAUUGACAGGUGACAGCGAUGAGGUUGUGUUUGCUGUGCUAGAGACCACAAACAAGCAAGGGGUUGAUCCGCCAGGCAUAUUGGUCUCAUCAUGAGUAAGAAA